rnacentral:rRNA from 1 species
UACAGAGGUCUCAACCGUUGUUCGGAUUCAUUGGGCGUAAAGGGUGCGUAGGCGGUCGAGUAAGUCUGACGUGAAAUCUCCGGGCCUAACCCGGAAACUGCGUUGGAAACUACUUGGCUAGAGGAAUGGAGGGGAGACUGGAAUACUUGGUGUAGCAGUGAAAUGCGUAGAUAUCAAGUGGAACACCAGUGGCGAAGGCGAGUCUCUGGACAUUUCCUGACGCUGAGGCACGAAAGCCAGGGGAGCAAACGGG